CAACGGGCAGCAGGCAGCAGGCCGGCACCCUCAACUCUCCCUCGGCCCAGCCCCUCGCCCAGUCCCUCACCCCAGUGUUCUCAUAUGCAAAAUGGGAGUUUUAAGGAGGAAAGAGAGCAAGACCACGACUUGGAAUUUAUUGAGCUACUGCUUUGUGCCACGCCCAUGUUGAGCCCUCACUGGUAAGAAUGAAGAAAAGACCCAAUGACCUAAGUGAAGAUGGUUUCAGGACAUCCACUCUGGAGCCAGGCCACCCUCAUUUAUAGACCCCCUGCCACCCACUGGGGCAAGCCACACUCUGAACCCAGUUCCUUCACCUGGAAAAUGGGCGCAAAUCAUAGAAUCCCCAUCAAAUAUUGUUGAGAUGCCACUCAACACAGGGCCUGCCUGGCACACCAUAAAUGGGUUCUAGAGCUUGGUGCCAGCCCAUGGCAUUUGGACUAUUCAUGCCUCUUGCAAAUUGUGGAGUCCACCAGGACAGGGACAGAACCCCGCCUUAUUUACUUCAGAUACGUUUAAAAAGGAACAAUAUUACAGUACAGUUGAAGUCCUUGUGCCAAUUCCAUCUCCCUUUCUCCUUCCACUGUCUGGAGUUUGGUAUUUAUCUUCCUCAUGAUGCUUUUUAUUCCAUUCAUACAUAUGUAUAAACAGUAUAGGAUACUGGGGCUUGGGGGCUUGUUUUUGAACUUCAUAUAAAUGGAAUCAUACAGUAUGUGCUUCAUUUGCUCAGCAUAAUGGCUAUGACGUUCAUCCAGAUUGUUGUGUGUAUCCAUAGUUCAUUCUUUUUUAUUAAGAUGUAAUUCACAUACCAUAAAAUUCACCCUUUUAAAGUAUA